UGGUCGUUCCUAGUCUCU
rnacentral:siRNA from 1 species